rnacentral:rRNA from 1 species
UCCAGCAGUUAGCUCUCUACAACUUUUACAUCACCCACUGAAGCUAAGCAGGGCUGCACUCAUUCAGUACUUGGAUGGGAGACCACAUGGGAAAGCUAGGCUGCUGCCAGAA